UUUGUUUGAGUUUAUUUCAUGGUUAAAUGCUUUACGAUGGUUUAUUUAGUUAUUUGAAUCUGGAAGAAGUGUGCAAAUUUCCCUUGAGACGAUAAAUAACAGAUCGGGUUGGGAUUUUAUUUCAAUAAAAGUACGGAAUAACUAAACAUGGCCUCGUUAAUACUGCUGCGUAAUGGGUCAGGUGCUGUUCCAAUUUUAUGAUUUAAGAGAUGUAAAAGCGAUACGCGAUGCUGUGAAGUACUCAAAUGUAUUUAUGAACUUAGUUGGUCGUGAAUUCGAGACAAAAUUUUAAAUUCAAUGACGUGCUUGUGGAAGGUGCACGUCGCAUUGCUAGAAUCAGCAAAGAAGCUGGUGUAGAACGUUUGAUUAUUUGUCUGCUUUAAACGCUAGUCCCAAACCAAUGAGCUUUGUGUUUGAAGGUGGAAGUAACUUUUUGAAGAGCAAAUACUCCGGUGAGCACAUUCGGAUGUUGUACGAGCUAUUGUCAAUUGAGCUUAGGAUGCCGAUACUGCUGGUCAGCUUUAUUAAGCUGUUGUACCAAAGCGUUACCAGUUGAGCGAAUUAAUUGACUGGUUUCAUCGUGUUAUGCGCAAAAAUGAAAAAUGGUGGGGAUACCGUCGUUAAGACAUGCGUUGCGAUCCUACCUUCUUAUUGAAAGCCAAGUUCACUGAGCUUAUCUGUCCUGAACAACCUAUUGGUGAGCUACAUACGGAACGUGUCGAUCGCGAAUGUAUUACCGAUGUCGUUCCCUCCGACAUACCGUGGUUGAAGAAUUUUGGUGUACAAUUGACCUCCAUGGAAGAGCAAGUAUCAUGGGAAUUGUGACCA